rnacentral:rRNA from 1 species
AACGAACGCUGGCGGCAGGCCUAACACAUGCAAGUCGAACGAGAAGCCACCUUCGGGUGGUGGACAGUGGCAGACGGGUGAGUAACGCGUGGGAACGUGCCCUUCAGUUCGGGAUAACCCAGGGAAACUUGGGCUAAUACCGGAUACGCCCUUACGGGGAAAGAUUUAUCGCUGGAGGAUCGGCCCGCGUCUGAUUAGCUGGUUGGUGAGGUAACGGCUCACCAAGGCGACGAUCAGUAGCUGGUCUGAGAGGAUGAUCAGCCCACACUGGGACUGAGACACGGCCCAGACUCCUACGGGAGGCAGCAGUGGGGAAUAUUGGACAAUGGGCGCAAGCCUGAUCCAGCCAUGCCGCGUGAGUGAUGACGGCCUUAGGGUUGUAAAGCUCUUUCGGCGGGGACGAUAAUGACGGUACCCGCAGAAGAAGCCCCGGCUAACUUCGUGCCAGCAGCCGCCGUAAAAC